rnacentral:rRNA from 1 species
CGCCUAAUAGCUAGCCUCCACAACCAAACUUUUCUAUUAUGAAAUUAAAAACUUAAAAUUUACUUAAGUAAACCAUUUUAACCCCAAGUACGGGCGACGAAAAAGGAAAAAAGAGCAACAGAUAAAGUACCGCGAGGGAACGCUGAAAGAGAAAUGAAAUAAUUCAUUUAAGCCCCGAACAGCAGAGCUACCCCCUCGUACCUUUUGCAUCAUGAUUUAGCAAGAAAAAUACAAGCAAAGAGCCCUUUAGUUUGUAACCCCGAAACUGACGCGAGCUACUCCAAGACAGCCUUUCUAGGGCAAACCCGUCUCUGUGGCAAAAGAGUGGGGAGAGCUUUGAGUAGAGGUGAUAAACCUACCGAGCCCAGUUAUAGCUGGUUGCCUGAGAAAUGAAUAGAAGUUCAGCCCUUUGAGUCUUUCCCCCGCCCACAAUGCUUACGCUUAAAUAGGCCAAGGAAACUAAAGGAGUUAAUCAAAAGGGGUACAGCCCUUCUGAUAAAAGAAACAACUUUAACAGGUGACCCAAGAUCAUAUUAAUUAAGGACUUUAAAUUAAGUGGGCCUAAGAGCAGCCAUCUUAACAGAAAGCGUUAAAGCUCAAAUUAAACACCAUCCGCACAUACUGAUAUCUCAUCUCCCUCCCUGCUUUCUACCAGGCUGUCCUAUGCCCCCAUAGGAACAAUUAUGCUAAAAUGAGUAAUAAGAAGAAUAUCGUUCUUCUCCAAGCACCCGUGUAAGUCGGAACGGACCUCCCACCGACCAUUAACCGACCCCAAACCCAGAGGGACAUAAGUCGUUCCAACAAGAAAACCACUUAUUUUAAACCGUUAGCCCUACACAGGCGUGCCCCAAGGAAAGACUAAAAGAGAAGGAAGGAACUCGGCAAACACAAGCCUCGCCUGUUUACCAAAAACAUCGCCUCUUGUCCCUCAAAGUAUAAGAGGUCCCGCCUGCCCUGUGACUAUAUGUUUAACGGCCGCGGUAUCUUAACCGUGCGAAGGUAGCGUAAUCACUUGUCUUUUAAAUGAAGACCUGUAUGAAUGGCAUCACGAGGGCUUAACUGUCUCCCCUCUCCAGUCAAUGAAAUUGACCUCCCCGUGCAGAGGCGGGGAUAUCUUUAUAAGACGAGAAGACCCUGUGGAGCUUUAGACCUAAAAUAAACCACGUUUAAUAUACUAAAGUUAAUAGCAAAAACUUAGUGGAUAUUUAUUAAAGUGUCUUUGGUUGGGGCGACCGCGGAGUAAAACAUAACCUCCAUGUGGAUGGGGAUACUAUCCCUAAAACUCAGAGCCUCCACUCCAAGCAACAGAAAUUCUGACCUACUGAUCCGGUAUAACCGAUUAACGAACCCAGUUACCCCAGGGAUAACAGCGCAAUCCCCUCUCAGAGCUCAUAUCGACGAGGGGGUUUACGACCUCGAUGUUGGAUCAGGACAUCCUAGUGGUGCAGCCGCUAUUGAGGGUUCGUUUGUUCAACGAUUAAAGUCCUACGUGAUCUGAGUUCAGACCGGAGUAAUCCAGGUCAGUUUCUAUCUAUAACAAGCUCUUUUCCAGUACGAAAGGAACGAAAAAAGGGGGCCCAUGCCUAACGCACGCCCCUCCCCUCACCACUGACACCUAAUAAAGUGGAAAAGGGGGCUUAAAAAGGCCCCAGAAAAUAUGGGCAU